GCCGGUUUGGCUCAGUGGAUAGAGCAUCGGCCUGCAAACCGAAGGGUCCCGGUUCGAUUCUGGUCAAGGGCA
rnacentral:tRNA from 1 species